GACGAACGCUGGCGGCGUGCCUAAUACAUGCAAGUCGAACGCAGUGGGGACGGGUGAGUAACACGUGGGUAACCUCCCAUCAGAGGGGAUAACACUUGGAAACAGGUGCUAAACCGAUACUGAUGGAUGGACCCGCGGUGCAUUAGCUAGUUGGUGAGGUAACGGCUCACCAAGGCCACGAUGCCUAGCCGCCCUGAGAGGGUGAUCGGCCACACUGGAACUGAGACACGGCCCAGACUCCUACGGGAGGCAGCAGUAGGGAAUCUUCGACAAUGGGCGAAAGUCUGACGGAGCAACGCCGCGUGAAUGAAGAAGGUUUUCGGAUCGUAAAGCACUGUUGUUGGGGAAGCGGUAUCUGACCAGAAAGCCACGGCUAACUACGUGCCAGCAGCCGCGGUAAUUC
rnacentral:rRNA from 1 species